AUUGAACGCUGGCGGCAGGCCUAACACAUGCAAGUCGAACGAGUGGCGGACGGGUGAGUAAUGUCUGGGUAACUGCCCGAUGGAGGGGGAUAACUACUGGAAACGGUAGCUCAUACCGCAUACCAUCGGAUGUGCCCAGAUGGGAGUGGCUAGUAGGUGGGGUAACGGCUCACCUAGGCGCCGAUCCCUAGCUGGUCUGAGAGGAUGACCAGCCACACUGGAACUGAGACACGGUCCAGACGCCUACGGGAGGCAGCAGUGGGGAAUAUUGUACAAUGGGCGCAAGCCUGAUGCAGCCAUGCCGCGUGUAUGAAGAAGGCCUUCGGGUUGUAAAGUACUUUCAGCGAGGAGGCGUUACUCGCAGAAGAAGCACCGGCUAACUCCGUGCCAGCAGCCGCGGUAAUUC
rnacentral:rRNA from 1 species